ACUGAGGACGCGACGUUGCGACGGAAUGCAUUUAAACGUCGGAAAAUAAUGGCGAGAAGAAGUUGCAACGUGCUUUUGCGAAUAAUUUCAUAUACCUGGGGGAUCUGGUGGUUGAGAAUAGCAACAUCUAGAAAGACCUCUCUUGAUCCUUACUAUCAUAUCGGAGACCUCAUCGGCCAGACGCUCACCUAAACCUCCUAAGAGAUGUUUGCUCAGCCUGAGAUAAAAGCAGGAACACAUUCCAUCACACUAUUCGAUUCUUCCUAUUGUCAAGCCCAACAAUUUUUUACUUUUUUCUUUCUUUCUAUACACUUUGAUUAUUUAACUAUUUCGUGGAUAUGAGGAUAACAGAUGUAAAAUAAUAAACAUUUGAUCGUAAAAAUUAAUCUCACAUUUUCACGUAAAUUGUUGUUAUGCGUUUGAUCUUGCGAUCGUAUUUGCAAAUACAAAUCGUGUAUUGCAAAUCGUGAUACAUUGUUACCGAUAUUUUUGAUAUCAGACUCGACGUAUCGAUCGACAUCUUUGUGUCGAUCAUAAAUAAAAGAUCCCCCUCCCCUCAAAAAAAUUAGAGUCGAAGAAAAAUCAUUCGUGUAUUAUAUGCAUUUAAAUAAACAGUACGGUAGUUCGUGAUCGACUGACAGAAAAUUGCAAAGUGCAUCGUCAAGUUGUUGCAUGACAGAGA
rnacentral:lncRNA from 1 species